CCUACGGGGUGCAGCAGUGAGGAAUAUUGGUCAAUGGACGAGAGUCUGAACCAGCCAAGUAGCGUGAAGGAUGACUGCCCUAUUGGUUGUAAACUUCUUUUAUAUGGGAAUAAAAUGUUCCACGUGUGGGAUUUUGUAUGUACCAUAUGAAUAAGGAUCGGCUAACUCCGUGCCAGCAGCCGCGGUAAUACGGAGGAUCCGAGCGUUAUCCGGAUUUAUUGGGUUUAAAGGGAGCGUAGGUGGAUUGUUAAGUCAGUUGUGAAAGUUUGCUGCUCAACCGUAAAAUUGCAGGUGAAACUGGCAGUCUUGAGUACAGUAGAGGUGGGCGGAAUUCGUGGUGUAGCGGUGAAAUGCUUAGAUAUCACGAAGAACUCCGAUUGCGAAGGCAGUUCACUGGACUGCAACUGACACUGAGGCUCGAAAGUGUGGGUAUCAAACAGGAUUAGAUACCCCAGUAGUC
rnacentral:rRNA from 1 species